GCUAAAGCUCAGUGGUAGGACAUCUGCUUUGCAUGCAGAAGGCCCCAGUUUCAAUCUCCAGGAAGAGCUGCU